rnacentral:rRNA from 1 species
GACGAACGCUGGCGGCGUGCUUAACACAUGCAAGUCGAGCGAUGAAGUUCUUUCGGGAAUGGAUUAGCGGCGGACGGGUGAGUAACACGUGGGUAACCUGCCUCAUAGAGGGGAAUAGCCUUCCGAAAGGAAGAUUAAUACCGCAUAAGAUUGUAGUUUCGCAUGAAACAGCAAUUAAAGGAGCAAUCCGCUAUGAGAUGGACCCGCGUCGCAUUAGCUAGUUGGUGAGGUAACGGCUAACCAAGGCGACGAUGCGUAGCCGACCUGAGAGGGUGAUCGGCCACAUUGGGACUGAGACACGGCCCAGACUCCUACGGGAGGCAGCAGUGGGGAAUAUUGCACAAUGGGGGAAGCCCUGAUGCAGCAACGCCGCGUGAGUGAUGACGGUCUUCGGAUUGUAAAACUCUGUCUUCAGGGACGAUAAUGACGGUACCUGAGGAGGAAGCCACGGCUAACUACGUGCCAGCCGCCGCAGUAA